rnacentral:rRNA from 1 species
UACGGAGGAGGCAAGCGUUAUCCGGAAUUACUGGGCGUAAAGAGAUGCGUAGGCGGUAGCUCAAGCAGACAGUGAAAUCGUGUGGCUCAACCACUCGGCUAUUGUCUGAACUAGGUUACUAGAGAAUGGAAGAGGUAGCUGGAAUUCCCGGUGUAGGAGUGAAAUCCGUAGAUAUCGGGAGGAACACCAAUGGCGAAGGCAGGCUACUGGUCCAUUUCUGACGCUGAGGCUCGAAAGCGUGGGGAGCGAACGGG